rnacentral:rRNA from 1 species
UACGUAGGGUGCAAGCGUUAAUCGGAAUUACUGGGCGUAAAGCGUGCGCAGGCGGUUCAUAAGACAGAUGUGAAAUCCCCGGGCUCAACCCUGGGAACUGCAUUUGUGACUGUAGAGCUGGAGUGCGGCAGAGGGGGGAUGGAAUUCCGCGUGUAGCAGUGAAAUGCGUAGAUAUGCGGAGGAACACCGAUGGCGAAGGCAAUCCCUGGGCCUGCACUGACGCUCAUGCACGAAAGCGUGGGAGCAAACAGG